AUGCAAGUAUGAACUAUUUCGAAUUGUGAAACUGUGAAUGGAUCAUUAAAUCAUUUAUAGUUUGUUUGAUGGCACGUGCUACUCGGAUAACAGUGCUGAUUCUUGAGCUAAUAUGUGCAAAAAAACCUGACUACCGGGAGGGGUGCAUUUAUUAGAUAAAAGGCUGAUGUGGAUUCUGCCCGCUGAUCCGAUGAUUCAUAAAAGCUCGAUGGAUUGCAUGGCCCUCGUGCCCAAGGCCGUGGAGAACUUUUACUACUAUAACCAAUACCUUUUUAAUCCUCAUAUUUGUGAC
rnacentral:ncRNA from 2 species